rnacentral:rRNA from 1 species
UACGAAGGGGGCUAGCGUUGUUCGGAUUUACUGGGCGUAAAGCGCACGUAGGCGGGUUGUUAAGUCGGGGGUGAAAUCCUGGAGCUCAACUCCAGAACUGCCUUUGAUACUGGCAACCUAGAGGCUGGAAGAGGUUAGUGGAAUUCCCAGUGUAGAGGUGAAAUUCGUAGAUAUUGGGAAGAACACCAGUGGCGAAGGCGGCUAACUGGUCCAGAUCUGACGCUGAGGUGCGAAAGCGUGGGGAGCAAACAGG